CAGCCGCCGCGGUAAUACGUAGGGUGCAAGCGUUAAUCGGAAUUACUGGGCGUAAAGCGUGCGCAGGCGGUUAUAUAAGUCAGAUGUGAAAUCCCCGGGCUCAACCUGGGAACUGCAUUUGAGACUGUAUGGCUAGAGUGUGUCAGAGGGGGGUAGAAUUCCACGUGUAGCAGUGAAAUGCGUAGAUAUGUGGAGGAAUACCGAUGGCGAAGGCAGCCCCCUGGGAUAACACUGACGCUCAUGCACGAAAGCGUGGGGAGCAAACAGGAUUAGAGACCCGCGUAGUCCCUGUCUCUUAUAC
rnacentral:rRNA from 1 species